GAUGAACGCUGGCGGCGUGCCUAACACAUGCAAGUCGAACGAAGCUUGACGGAUGAUUUCUUCGGAAUGAAACCAGAUAUGACUUAGUGGCGGACGGGUGAGUAACACGUGAGCAACCUGCCUUUCAGAGGGGGAUAACGGCUGGAAACGGUCGCUAAUACCGCAUGAUGUGUUCGGAUGGCAUCAUCUGAACAUCAAAGAUUUAUCGCUGAAAGAUGGGCUCGCGUCUGAUUAGAUAGUUGGUGGGGUAACGGCCUACCAAGUCUACGAUCAGUAGCCGGACUGAGAGGUUGAACGGCCACAUUGGGACUGGGAUACGGCCCAGACUCCUACGGGAGGCAGCAGUGGGGAAUAUUGCACAAUGGGGGAAACCCUGAUGCAGCAACGCCGCGUGAAGGAUGACGAUUUUCGGAUUGUAAACUUCUUUUCUUAGUGACGAAGACAGUGACGGUAGCUAAGGAAUAAGCAUCGGCUAACUACGUG
rnacentral:rRNA from 1 species